rnacentral:rRNA from 1 species
AUGUGCGGAACAAAGGUGCGGGCGCCUUUUCUCCUUAUCGGUGAGGCCCUUGUGGCGGAGCCGGCAAGCAUCCGACAAUAUGAUCCAGCGAGGUGGCGUGCUCGAGGUAAGGUCGUGGCGGCGGAGGCGGUGGCCUUUCUUUGGACCUUUUUGUCCUCCCGCUCCAUCUCCGUCUCAAUGAGAGGUGGACAGUUGCUGUUCGGUGUUCUUCGGGAUGCUCUUCUUCAGCUCCUGCUCUUGAUUGACCCAAGCCAGAACUGGAUCUUUUCUUCACUAGUUCACCUUGGGUUACUGUUGCAAAGGACUCUGCCAAUUGGAUUUGAAGGAGCUGUUAUUCAAGAAUUUCACGCCAAGGACAAAGCUGUAGCCGUCUGUAGAUCCAGAGCAAAGGCAAAAAAAGGUCGAGAUAUGGAGGUCGCUGCUGGGGCGAUGGGCCCUGUCAUCCGUAAGCUCGGCGAGCUACUCGUCGGAGAAUACAACCUAGAGAAGCGAGUAAAGAAAGGCGUACAAUCGCUCCUAAACGAGCUGGAGAUGAUGCAUGCUGUACUUCGCAAGGUUGGCGAGGUGCCAUCGGAACAGCUCGAGGAGCCGGUCCGGAUUUGGGCUGGCAAGGUGAGAGACCUCUCUUGCGACAUGGAAGACGCUGUUGACGACUUCAUGGUGCGUGUGGAUGAGGGUUCAAGCAGCAAUCCUACGAACAUGCGGAAUCGAGUCAAGAAGUUCCUCAAGAAGACCACCAAACUGCUUGGCAAGGGCAAAGCACUUCAUCAAAUCAGUGAUGCCAUCAAAGAAGCUCAGGAUCUUGCCAAGGAGUUGGCGGACCUGCGUAGAAGGUACGAGCUUGACACUCGUAGCACUAGCAAUGGUGCUACCAUUGACCCUCGUGUGUUAGCUCUGCACAAAGAUGCAGGGGAGCUUGUUGGCGUUGACUGCACAAGGGAUGAGCUUAUUAAAACACUGAUUUGUGAGGGCGGGAGUUACAAGGAGCAACUGAAGAUAAUCUCUAUUUUUGGUGUUGGUGGGCUGGGCAAGACAACCCUAACCAAAGUAGUUUAUGAGAAGAUCAAAGCUCAAUUUGAUUGUGCGGCGUUUAUCCCUGUGGGUCAGAACCCAGAUAUCCGGAAAGUUUUCAAGGACUUGCUCUAUGAACUUGACGAAGAGAAGUUCAAGGACAUUCAUAAUACAACAAGAUGUGAAAAGCUACUCAUCAAGCAAAUAAGUGAAUUCCUCGUGGAUAAGAGGUUAUCACUUCAUAAUAUCAACUCAAAGGUUCAGAGCCAUCAGUUUGAUAGCACUAGCCUGUCAAAAGUGAGGACCUUUGCUGUUUUCUCUCCCGUUACUUGCGAUUGGUUGCCAUCUCUCUCAAGCUUCCUAUUCUUACGUGUGCUGGAUCUUGGGAACUGUGGCAGCCGUGAAAGCAGCUCUGGUAUCAGCCUCAAGUAUGUGGGGAAUUUAAUUCACCUAAGGUACCUAGGGCUCAAGGAUGCAGAUGUUUGCGAACUCCCAAUGGACAUAGGCAAGUUGCAGCUUUUACUGACACUGGAUAUAAGAGGCACUAGUAUAAAAGAAUUACCUGCAAGUGUUAUUCAGCUCCGAAAUAUGAUAUGCCUAUAUGUCAAUUACAGGGUGAGGCUGCCAAAAGGAAUGGGGAACCUGACAUCCCUCGAAGUGCUAGAACAAGUACGCUUAUCCUCAUCUCCUCACAUUGUGGAAGAGCUGAGCCAUCUGACAGAGGUUAGGACACUCAGUGUUUACAGUGCUGACAUGGACGAGGAUCUGUUUGAUAUAUUAACCAAGUCUCUAGGCAACCUGCAGAAAUUGCAAAAUCUGCAUAUUUAUGAUGGCGGCAGAUUGAUGGAUCGCAUGCGUGAAAGCUUGGUGCCCCCUCCAAACCUCCGUUGUUUUGUUUCACGGAACCCCUUUUCUCCUUUGUGGUUCUCGCGACUUCCGAAGUGGGUUAAUUCAAGGUCGCUUCCCCACCUCUCCCGCCUGUCAAUAGAUGUGGAAGAACUGCAAGGGGAUGACAUUCAGAUCAUUGGGAUGCUGCCUGCUCUUCGGUUUCUACGGCUGGGUGCAAGUCGCGUGAUGGGAACGUUGGUUGUGAGGGCCGAUGCAUUCCCAUCUGCGAGAUGCUGCACGUUCAGACGGUUUCCGACGGCGCCGUGCCUUUUCCCACCUGGAGCUAUGCCAAGGGUUCAGCGCCUUUACUUCAAUGCCUCUGCACGGUCGAUCGCGAGUGGUGAGGUUGACUGCGGCAUGGGCCACCUCCCUUCUCUCGAGCAUGUUGAGGUUUUUCCGGAGUGUGGGAAUUCCAGCGAUGAAGAGAUGGAGACAGCCAACGCUUGGCUGAGGCGCGCAGCAGAAGCCCAUCCAAAACGUCCCACCAUUCAAAUCAUUGGCGUAUGA